ACAGUUUUGUUCUUUUUCGUUCACAGAGCUCUAAGCGUCUUGCCUCUUCGAAUCUGCUGACCUUUGAGCAACGACUUUGUGUGUCUUCCGUUUUCGGUUAUCAUCUCAAUUAAUCCAAGCAUUUAUGCUGAUCCCAUCACUCCUCCCACUCUCUCUCAUUUAAACGUCCCUCAUCUUCUUCCAAGGUGACCGUUUAAAGCUCCAUCUAUAAAUGUCUUUCAUGCCUGCGAUGAACGGCAGCAGUGAGAGUGGGAGCAAGAGGGAAAUCCUGAGUUCGGAACCUAAAUCCGAGAUAGAAAAAUCAAUAAGCACGGCCUAAGAAAGCUGAGUUUUGAAAACUGAUUUCUGUAUUUCACGAUGACAAAUUAAAUUCAGUAUCAGCAUGGAGCAAUCGGUUUCUUCAAAAUCUCCGUGAUGCCGUUACCAAAUCUUUCGAGCACCAUCAGUGGUUGAGAGGCUUGCAAUGUGUUGGAGCUAUGGAGAUUGUCACGCCGAAACCAGUCAGUUUUCUCUGCACGGUCUCAUCCCUGUUUUCACCGAGUGUGUGCUCCGAGGUCCCAAAUGUAUACAUCUUCUAGGAUAAUCUUGGGAAAAGCUACAAGUUAAAGAGAGGAUGACAAGCUAGAUGUAGAUGCUGCUAUGAACAAGUUUUCCAGCAAUAUAUAUGAAUGAGGACAUGAGUCAAGCCAUGAACAAAUCAUUCAUGGGCUGAGCAAUAACCUUUUUGGUCUUCUUUCUAACAACUUAUCAUUUCUCCUUUUGAUUGACUAUUUACUCUUUUUUUAGGUUUUAAAAGCAGACCUUGAUAUGCUUAGGUUCGAUAUUGGCCAAAAUGAAACAGUAACAGAUCAAUUGUCCUGGCGACACUUUCGUGUACCUAACGUUUCUGGGGCUUCUAUAGAUGAAAUUAUGUCUUCCAAGCAUACAAGCUUAGGACAAGUGUGACUUCUGGAGCGGUGAAAAAGGCUCGUGCAGUUUUACGGAUAUGAGAUAUAUUCCAAAUGGAUACGGAAACGUAAUCGACGCAUAUUGCCAUCUUCAAUUGUGAUGGAAUACUGCAUAGAAGGAUUAUAUAUAAAGGAAAAGCUAAAGAUGAAGAUUGCAAAGGGUGAUGAAUGUGAUUAGGUCAAUAUGAUUAGAUGAGGUCAGCAUGGGAAACAAGAGUCGCUACAAAAACAGGGCUAAAUUUGAUCCAAAAAAAGUAAUAGAAUAAAUCUGAUAAAUAAUAAGAUUAGUGGAGUUUUUGAAAAAUAACAGUAAUUAUUCAGAUUUGUUAAUUUUUGCGACGAACAGAUGAGUGUGGUGCUAAGCUAAUACUGUUUUUUUAUAUUGUAUUUCUGUUACAAACAACU